AGAUGUGCAGGUGAUCUGGCUGCCACAUCUGUCACCCCAUUGAUCACCAGGGUUAGUUGGGGCGGAGGAUCUGGCUGCCUAGGCAGGUGUCCCCCUCCUCCCUCACCGAUCCAUGUGCGUCCCUCCCGAAGCUGCACCUCCCCCCCAGAGGAGAGGACCAGUCUUCGGUCAAGGGUAUACCAAUAGCUGCACUCCCCUGCUAGAACCUCCAAGCAAGCUCUCAAGAAUCUUAAUUUGCAAGCCCACAAAAGGACAUUUUCUAAGGAAAAGUCUAAUGUUUACGUGGAUUAUAA
rnacentral:snRNA from 1 species